rnacentral:rRNA from 1 species
AAGCUUAUACAUGCAAGUCGAGGGGUAACAUGGGUAGCAAUACCUGAUGACGACCGGCAAACGGGUGCGGAACACGUACGCAACCUUCCCAUAACUGGUGAAUAGCCUUCCGAAAGGAAGAUUAAUACACCGUAACAUAACGAAGAGGCAUCUCUUUGUUAUUAUAGGCUUCGGCCGGUUUUGGAUGGGCGUGCGCCUGAUUAGGUAGUUGGCGGGGUAACGGCCCACCAAGCCUGCGAUCAGUAACUGGUGUGAGAGCACGACCAGUCACACGGGCACUGAGACACGGCCCAGACUCCUACGGGAGGCAGCAGUGGGGAAUUUUGGACAAUGGGGGCAACCCUGAUCCAGCCAUGCCGCGUGCGGGAAGAAGGCCUUCGGGUUGUAAACCGCUUUUGUCAGGGAAGAAAUCCUUUGGGUUAAUACCUCGGAGGGAUGACGGUACCUGAAGAAUAAGCACCGGCUAACUACGUGCCAGCAGCCGCGGUAAUACGUAGGGUGCAAGCGUUAAUCGGAAUUACUGGGCGUAAAGCGUGCGCAGGCGGUUAUGCAAGACAGAUGUGAAAUCCCCGGGCUCAACCUGGGAACUGCAUUUGUGACUGCAUGGCUAGAGUACGGCAGAGGGGGAUGGAAUUCCGCGUGUAGCAGUGAAAUGCGUAGAUAUGCGGAGGAACACCGAUGGCGAAGGCAAUCCCCUGGGCCUGUACUGACGCUCAUGCACGAAAGCGUGGGGAGCAAACAGGAUUAGAUACCCUGGUAGUCCACGCCCUAAACGAUGUCAACUGGUUGUUGGGAGGGUUUCUUCUCAAACUACUAACGCGUGAGUUGACCGCCUGGGGAGUACGGCCCAAGGUUUAACCUCAACGAAUUGACG